GAGCCGCCGCGGUAAUACGUAGGUGGCAAGCGUUAUCCGGAAUUAUUGGGCGUAAAGCGCGCGUAGGCGGUUUUUUAAGUCUGAUGUGAAAGCCCACGGCUCAACCGUGGAGGGUCAUUGGAAACUGGAAAACUUGAGUGCAGAAGAGGAAAGUGGAAUUCCAUGUGUAGCGGUGAAAUGCGCAGAGAUAUGGAGGAACACCAGUGGCGAAGGCGACUUUCUGGUCUGUAACUGACGCUAAUGUGCGAAAGCGUGGGGAUCAAACAGGAUUAGAUACCCGGGUAGUCCCUGUCUCUUAUAU
rnacentral:rRNA from 1 species